CCUCCCGUCGGGGGCCGGUGCGGUCGACGCGGUGCCGCAGGCGCCGCUGGACGGCACCAUGUCGGUCUCCCGGGUGCGGGUCUCGGGCGUGAGGGCC
rnacentral:tRNA from 1 species